CGUGUAGGUGGUUGGGUAUGUUAGAUGUGAAAUCCCUCGGCUCAACCGAGGAACUGCAUCUAAAGCCACCCGACUUGAGUAUCGGAGAGGAAAGUGGAAUUCCUGGUGUAGCGGUGAAAUGCGUAGAUAUCAGGAGGAACGCCGGUGGCGAAAGCGACUUUCUAGACGAAUACUGACACUAAAGUGCGAAAGCCAGGGGAGCGAAG
rnacentral:rRNA from 1 species